rnacentral:rRNA from 1 species
UACGUAGGGGGCGAGCGUUGUCCGGAGUUACUGGGCGUAAAGCGCACGCAGGCGGUCUGCUAAGUUUGGAGUGACAGUUGGUGGCUUAACUGCCAAAGUGCUUCGAAAACUGACAGACUUGAGGGCUUCAGAGGGACACGGAAUUCCGGGUGGAGUGGUGAAAUGCGUAGAGAUCCGGAAGAACACCAAAGGCGAAGGCACCAUCCUGGGGAGUCACUGACGCUCGGGUGCGAAAGCCAGGGGAGCGAACGGG